AGCGAACGCUGGCGGCAGGCCUAACACAUGCAAGUCGAACGAAGUCUUCGGACUUAGUGGCGGACGGGUGAGUAACACGUGGGAACGUGCCUUUAGGUUCGGAAUAACUCAGGGAAACUUGUGCUAAUACCGAAUGUGCCCUUCGGGGGAAAGAUUUAUCGCCUUUAGAGCGGCCCGCGUCUGAUUAGCUAGUUGGUGAGGUAAAGGCUCACCAAGGCGACGAUCAGUAGCUGGUCUGAGAGGAUGAUCAGCCACAUUGGGACUGAGACACGGCCCAAACUCCUGCGGGAGGCAGCAGUGGGGAAUCUUGCGCAAUGGGCGAAAGCCUGACGCAGCCAUGCCGCGUGAAUGAUGAAGGUCUUAGGAUUGUAAAAUUCUUUCACCGGGGACGAUAAUGACGGUACCCGGAGAAGAAGCCCCGGCUAACUUCGUGCCAGCAGCAGCCGCCGUAA
rnacentral:rRNA from 1 species